UACGUAGGUGGCAAGCGUUGUCCGGAAUUACUGGGCGUAAAGGGCGUGUAGGCGGCCUUUUAAGUCAGACGUGAAACCCCUGGGCUUAACCCAGGAACUGCGUUUGAAACUAAAGGGCUUGAGGACCGGAGAGGGUAGUGGAAUUCCCAGUGUAGCGGUGAAAUGCGUAGAUAUUGGGAGGAACACCUGUGGCGAAAGCGGCUCACUGGACCAUUACUGACGCUGAUGCUCGAAAGCUAGGGGAGCAAACAGG
rnacentral:rRNA from 1 species